CAAAAUAGCUAGUUACCAAAACAAAUUUUUUAAACACAUAUGUUGACCAUACAAAUUCAUAUGUAGUAAGCGUGAGAGAACUAUAAGCUCUUAACUUUUACGUUUCUUAUACUUGCAUUAUCAAUAUUAUGUUUAACUCAUGAUUUUGUCAUAGAAACUUUAGUGAGCUGAGAUCGCGCCAUUGCACUCCAGCCUGGGUGACAAGAGGGAAACUCUGUCCCCUAAAGGCCAGACAUGGUGGCUCACGCACUUUGGGAGGCCGAGGCUGUGAGGAUUGCUUGAGCCCAGGAGUUUGAGACCAGCCUGGGCAACAUAGUGAAACCCUGUCUCUACAAAAACCUUUUAAAAAUUAGCCAGACAUGGUGGUGUGCCUCUGUAGUCCCAGCUACUUAGGAGGCUGAGAUAGGAGGAUCCCUUGAGCCCAGGAGUUU
rnacentral:lncRNA from 1 species